CUCAUUCUGUAGUUGGUAUUCAGUGAGGUUGCACUUGUUCCUGUAAAAAGGAAUAGUAUCAUUCAGGAUUUGAAAUUUUUCCUAAGUCCUCUUUUUGGUGACAUGUAUAAACAGAGGUAGACUAUAAGGUUCCACCAUUCUUGAUUGAAAAUAGGGAAUAGUUUCGUUCAGGAUUUGAAAUUUUCCUAAGUUCUCUGUUUGGUGACAUGUAUAAACAGAGGUAUACUAUAAGGUUCCACCAUUCUUGAUUGAAAAUAGAUAUUAUAUUUAUCGAAUUGAAUAUGUGAUUGGAUGUAAUCAUUGGAUAUUCUAAACCUUUCUAAUCAAUGGUAAUCACUCCUACUAUAAGAACUGAUUCCAAACCCGUGAUGAAGUCCUAACGGACGAAACGCGUUGGGUUUUGCAACGUCUGGUUAACAAAGUCCUUAUCACAAGCAUCUGGUUGGAGAUACAUCCAUUUCGAGUUCUGACUGUGAUCACCUGGCUGUAAAAUCCUCACAUCCAACUGUAAUUUAUGUAUAAGAUUGUAAUAUUGUUUUAUAUGAAUUUUUAGAAGGUUGUGUCAAUAACGAACGCUUAGGAUAAAUAUCGUUUGUUUCUGUACAAUAAAAACUUUUAAUUAUUGUCAUACAA